UUAAGUUCAGCGGGUAGUCCUACCUGAUUUGAGGUCAAGAGUCAAUAAAGUGUUUGCAAGCAAACAGUCCGAGUUAACAGACAGUUAGAAGCUGUGACACAAACUGGAAGCUGAACCAAAGCGUAGAUAAUUAUCACACCAAGGAACGGCUAACCAAGUCACCGCUAAUACUUUUAAGAGGAGCUGACUUCUUUGCAGAU
rnacentral:misc_RNA from 1 species